rnacentral:ncRNA from 1 species
ACGUCGUGACUGCGUCGAUACUAGCAGGAUUAGGGGAUUUCCCCUGACACGGCGU